GCCUUCGUGGUGUAAUGGCCAGCAUACUGAACCGGUAUUUCAGAGGUCCGUGGUUCGAUUCCCGGCGAAGGCC
rfam:Stegodyphus mimosarum contig121879, whole genome shotgun sequence.